ACCUGGGUGGCUCAGUUGGUUAAGCGUCCGACUUCGGCUCAGGUCAUGAACUCAGUUUGUGGGUUCAAGCCCCACAUCAGGUU
rnacentral:tRNA from 1 species